GUGAGUCAUCAUGAUAUCAAAUGUCUUUUUUUUUUUUUUUUUUUUUUUUUUUUAGGAUUUCGAUAUUCUCACUUCUCUUUUCCUAUUUGUCAAAGUGUACCAUUACUCAAUUUUCCAUUAAAUUUAUUAACUAAAGUUGAUGUUAAUCUCUCUAUAAAUACCUCUUUUAUUUAUCAUUCUUCAUCACUAAAUCUCACAAACAAAAAUCACUUUGGCCAUUUCAUUAUUUUCCCCUUCCAAGUCCCAUUCUUUUUAUUAUCAAGUUUAGUAAUGGCAAGUGUUGAUCAGACGACGACAGCAACAACAACAACAGAGCAAACUCCAACAACUGAAGUUGAAGUGAAGUCAACAACACCAGAGGAACCAAAAACAGAACCAGUUAAUGAAGCGGCCCCCACAGCAGCUGCGGCAGCACCAGUUGCUGCUGCAGCUCCUGCGGAGGAAAAAAAAGAAAGCACUGAAGUCCCAGUUGAAAAGACUUCAGAAUAAAGAAUUAAUAAGUACUAAUUUUUAUAUUACUAUGCUUUUUUGAAUGUGUGUGUGUUUUUAAGUAUAAUAAAGUGUGGUUAUGAGUUACCUAUUUUUUAUUUCUUUUUACUAUCUGAUCUUUUCUUGGAUCUCGCGCAUAGCGAAGUUUUAGUACACGAAACUGUUCUUUUUGUUUUUUAAGAAACUUGAGAGUGCUAUCUAGCUUGAUGAAUAUGAGAUUUGAUCUCUCUUUGUAUUUGAAUAAUACAAAUACUUUUCUUCUUUGCUA